rnacentral:rRNA from 1 species
AUUGAACGCUGGCGGCAGGCCUAACACAUGCAAGUCGAACGAGUGGCGGACGGGUGAGUAAUGUCUGGGAAACUGCCCGAUGGAGGGGGAUAACUACUGGAAACGGUAGCUAAUACCGCAUACCAUCGGAUGUGCCCAGAUGGGAGUAGCUAGUAGGUUGGGUAACGGCUCACCUCGGCGACGAUCACUAGCUGGUCUGAGAGGAUGACCAGCAACCCUGGAACUGAGACACGGUCCAGACUCCUACGGGAGGCAGCAGUGGGGAAUAUUGCCCAAUGGGCGCAAGCCUGAUCCAGCCAUGCCGCGUGUAUGAAGAAGGCCUUCGGGUUUUAAAGUACUUUCAGCGAGUAGGCGUUACUCGCAGAAGAAGCACCGGCUAACUCCGUGCCAGCAGCCGCGGUAAUUC